rnacentral:rRNA from 1 species
UUCGUAGGUGGUAUGUUAAGUCUGGUGUUAAAGCCCGAAGCUCAACUUCGGUUCGGCACUGGAUACUGGCAAACUUGAAUGUGGUAGAGGUAAAGGGAAUUCCUGGUGUAGCGGUGAAAUGCGUAGAUAUCAGGAGGAACAUCGGUGGCGUAAGCGCUUUACUGGGCCAUAAUUGACACUGAGGAACGAAAGCCGGGGUAGCAAAUGGGAUUAGAUACCCCAGUAGUCCCGGCGUAAACGAUGGAUACUAGGUGUUGCGGGUAUCGACCCCUGCAGUGCCGUAGCUAACGCGAUAGUAUCCCGCCUGGGGAGUACGCACGCAAGUGUGAA